rnacentral:lncRNA from 1 species
AUUUGGGAAGCGGCGACAGCGGGGAGGAGCUAGCCGGUCGAGCCCCUCGACGGGCCGCGGCCACCAACUCCACCACGGCAGCGAGCAGCUCGACGUGGACUUCCAACACCCAAACUCCGCAGGUGCCCUUUACGUCUGCUCCCGUCUCUUCCAAUCUUCCUGCAUUCCCUUUUCCGCCCGCCGCCUUCCGCGCUCGGUGCGUGCGAGAGCCGCCGGAUCUCCGGCCUCCAACACCCCAUCGGAGAAUAUUAGGCCGUCUAUUGCCAAGCUUUAGGUCUCAAAGCCGCCCAAUUCGGCAGCGCGGCUAAUCGAUGUGUAGCAGCUUCCAGUUAGUGGUAUCUGGGGAUUGCAGAUUGCUACUGUACUGACUAGUGUGGUGCUGGGGAACGAAAGGGGAAUUGACAGUGUUUGCUGUGUGGUGUGUUGUUGCCAUGCUCCCGUCCUGCCAUCCGCUACUAAACUACACGGUUCUUAGUUAACAUCAUUAUUCAAAAUUAAUCAUGAGUCUUAGUAGAACCUCUACUGAAUUGGUCACCUCUUGACUGAUGAAUGCAUUGCCAGACAAUGCACGCUGGCAGGCAUUUUUUAUAAGGGAAAUUUUAUUGAAUUCUCAUCGUCGCAUCAAGGAUAUAUAACACAUGAGUUCAAAUACCCGACCCGUGCAUAACAAGAUGCACAAACACAGCCAACAGAAAGAAACCAACUCCAAACAUGGAGUUAAGGGUAUGGAGUUUGGUCUUGAACUGGAAAUGCAAAACUAGGAUCACACACAAGUGGUUUAUCAUUUCAUAUUGAAUCACAAUGCAGCACUAGGAUCAUGCACAAGUGGAAAUUUUGCUGAAACUUUAUGCUAAAAUGUGUUGUCCACAAGCAUCGAUUUACAAACAGUUGAGGGCAAAUGAAUAUGAAUUGAAAGUACCAGUGGUAACCAAGCAGAGAAAUAAAUUAGAUAUAAGGCGAUAUGAUUAUAAUUACAAUAUACUUUCUUUUGAUUGCAAAUGAAAAUAUUGUUCGUUCCAAAAAAGACAGUACGUAUCAUUAAAAAUCAUACUCCAACUAUAUCAUGCCCUUGUGAUUCCAAUCCCUGGAUUGUUGACCUCGCAACAACUGCCGCUCUUGAUAUCAAAUCUAAAUUCAAGGUGUCCCUUCUUAUAUUGGGAUGAACACUUCGACACAAUUGUAGAUGUAGAUUCCCAUAUUACUUAUAAAUGGGGAAAUUAUGUAUUAAUAAGUCCUACCAUCUACGGACGAAUCGUUAUCAGUCAUGGGCAGUAAGUUCCUUUGCUCUUGCCACAAGAGCGGAGAUGGGUGUACUGUACUCCAUCAACCCUGUGUCGCCCAAAAAGAACCUGUAGUUCUCGGCCUCUGACAAUGUCUGUUCUACUGUUGACAGUGUUUCUGCCAAUUUGAAUUCAUUGAAACAGUCUGCAUAGGCAGCAUAGCAAUAAUUGCACUCCACCAUGUUAAUGACUUGUUCAAGUAUGACCCUCCUGAUCCCAGGACAAUGAGGCUGAGCUCUAGUUUUCGUAUUUGCAUUCAACGCGUCAACAAGCCUGUUCACAAAUCUCCGCUUAAUCUGAAUGUCAUGUAGUUCUCGGGUAAAGUCUUCAGGAAUGAUUUUACAGAUCUGUGAACUAAGGCCAAUGAGGAUCUCUAGUUCUGCCCCUUCUAUGUCCUUUAUUCUUUCCAACACCUGCAGUGAAAUAUAUCAUGAUUUGUAAAAAACUAAAAAUAUACUGUACAGCUAGUCAGCUACACCUAUAUAGUUCAGUGUUAAAUAACUGUGCAGAGGUACAAAAUUGCAGGCCAAACUUCCACUAAAAACUCAAGUACAAGGACAAAUGAAAAUUGAACUAGGUAUCUCUAAUAGUUGACUUGUUGUUUGAGUUAGCAGGGCUCACCUUUCGCAAGGCAUGAGGUAGUUCUUUCAGGUCCGACUCGGUGAGCUCGGUUCGAGCAUGCUGGCAGAGAUUACACAACAGAGUUGCAGCCACAUAUAUGAGCUUGUCAUCAUGGAUCAUAAUCUUGAGUUUCUUAAUGAACUCUGGUUCCUUCAACAUAACCAAACAAUUCUGAACACUCUCUGUUGUCAGCAUUGCAAGUGCUUGCCCUGCGACCUUCUCUAGCAAGUGAUCAGCAUCGGUACUUUUGGUUCCUUCUGUAUUUAGAAAUGCCUGCAUGAGCAUGUUAAUGGUCAGUUGAGUGCGACCAAUCUCCUGCCUUAUGCUCCCAUCAACGGCAAUGUUUCUAAUGAUUCCUGCCACCAAUUUUCUGAAUUCCUGGCUGUUCAUGCUGUCUUGCAAGAUCUCUGUGAGAUUUCUCAGUAGGAAGCGAUGUUUUGAUAUCUCAUACCUCAGUGUUAUGCCAAUUUCCCCGUCAAUUCUUGUGAGCCUUUGCAGUACCUUCAGUGAUGACUUUAGUAGGACCUUUUGCCGUACCACAUCACUUGUCGUGUCACUUUUGUAGCUUGUGAAUCCUAUAAUCUUUGGGAUGAGGUCUGCUGCUUUGACGAUUUCCACACAGUUGUCCUGACCACAACCAGCAAGAUUGCCUAUAAUCGACAUGGCCAGUGCAGGUAGAAAAUCAUGGUCUGUUAAUGGCUGCUCCUUAGGAAUUGACCAGAAAUCUGAAAUCCGCCGCCAGCACCUGAGCAUGCAGGAAUUCUCUUCGUUGAUGACAACUGGUUGGGUUGAGAUGGCUUGUGUUCCCUUCUGGUUAUCGGUGCCCUGAUGUUGGUCUCUUAUUUGCUCUUGGUCAUGAGCCACAUCCCUUAGCUCGUCAUGUUCUUCCUCUUGGCUAUCUUCUGUGCUCAGAAAAUGAUCUUGUUUUUCUUCUUGUUCAUCAUCUGCAUCCAGAAGUGGGUUUCCUCUUUUCCGUCUACUGUCAACGUCAAAAACUGCAGAUACAUGCUGCACUGUACCGGGGAAAGUGGCAACACAGAGGUCCUUGGCAAGCUCAGUGGUGACCUUUGCGGCAUAUAAUCUGAUAGUUGUAUCCUUUUGACUUUUCCAAUCCAACAUUCUGAUUAUUCUGGUCAUCGUCUUGCUGGAACUGGUAAGUUCUGAAAGGAGCCAUGUCUUGGUUGGUUCACUUUGCAGAAAGCCGUGCAUCAUCCAUAUCCCGUAGAACUGGUUCUUGGAUGAGUCUGAGUUCACAGAAUCCAUGGCAAAGGUGCUGAAGCUGAUCUUCUUUGGAGCAAGCACACCCUCUUGCAUGCAUUUCUCGAAGGCAUAUGCAUAGUACAGAUUGACAGAUUCCACUCCCUGCUGACCUCUAAAUCCACCACAUCGGACAAGGUAUCUCCGAGGGAUGAAUGAGAAGAACUCGAGCGCACAAGCCAAAACAUAAAGCAUUCCUUGACCAAGAACCAUCCCGUAGAAGAUUUUAAGAGAUGCCACGAGGUUAUGAUCGUACUUAGUGUUGUCCCCAAUUGGUCCAAGGCGCAACAGUGACAGCACAAUGCGCACCACCGCUGCUGGAAUCUGGAAGUUGCCAAAUGACACCACUGCUAAGGCACACGCUUGGACUAUCAUGAUCACAGAGAGGUCCAUAUCUAGACGCAGCAUGAACACCUGCAUCCCCAGCGCGACAAUCAUACACAGGUUUACAAUAACUCGACGCCAAAAUACUUUUUUGUUCCCGAGAGUACUAUCCACUAGUUUGAUGAUUCUUGCAAACCGUAGCCUACUUAUUGUUACCAAAAGCACUGGCACAAGUAGUGUUGUGAACACAAUCCAUCUGGUCGAUGUGUCUACUGGAUGAUCGUAAGGAUCAUCAUAUAUGUAUUGACUAACAGAAUCUGGCAGAGGGGGAGCCAUCAGUAGGAUUGCAACCAAGGGACUCCAUAGCGAUGUGGCACGGCGCAGCGGAUUGCAUAUGUGUAGUUUCAGCCCAGACAGGAACCGGCCAAUUGCAAGUAUUAUUGCCAUUAAUAGAAGGCCCACAUUGGACAUAUAAUCUCUCUUCAAUAGGAUCACGAAAACAUCGAAGAAGCAUAAGAUCGCAAUCAGUGCAUUCCAGCCAACUGGUCUAAAAGCACCCCUGGUGUUAAAGAACAGUUGGUAAUCCAGUCUGUUGUUGCGGGUGAACAUCCUGAGGUAUGUAUGUAUUGGUGUUGUCAUGGCAUGAUAUAAAUAACAAAGCCAUAUCACAAAGUUUCUAAGGAAAAUAGGCAUGCAACUGGAAUAAACAUAAUUUGAGUAGAUAAGAUUCUCAAACAAAAAAAAGUAGUACUUACUCCGAUCCUAAAUUCUUGUUGUCGAACUAAAACCACGACAAGAAUUUAGGAUCGGACGGAGUAGAUCAUAAGUUCAUAGCAGUGCUGGUUUCAGUAGCUAAGCUGCCUUGGUGGCAUUGAUUGAUCCAAUAACGAGGUAGAGCAUAUUUUGUAGAGUGAAAAACUAUAGUUUCAAGUAUGGAAGAUUCCAAUAAAUACCAUGCUAGUUUCAAGUUUGGACCGUUACGCAUGAUGCCAAUUAGUUUAUUUUGUAGAUUUUUUCUGUAGACUUGGUUAAAGUUUGACUUGGCAUAAAGUUAGAACUUCUUACAUUUAGGCAUGGAGGGAACAGAGGGAGCAGCAUAUAUAGUUCAGUUUGCAUGCAUAUAUAAUUAUAUUUACCUUGUGGCUUCCAGGAACACUAUCGCUGUCGCGUACCAAAAAUCGAAGUGGGAGCCGUCGUCCUUGGGAUCAUCCUUGCCAAGGUCACUGGCGUAGCCGCCGAGCAGGACGACGGUGGCCCAGGUGAACGCCAGCGUGCCCAGCGCGUUGCCCACCCUCUCCAUCAGCACCACGAACCGCACGAAGCGGUUCAGCCCCUUCUCGGCCGGCGUGGCAGCGGCGGCGGCCUUGCCCGCUGCCGCUGCUCCGCCGCCACCGUGAGGAAUAACUGCUGGCAUCCUGACGCGGUGCUCACCCCCAACGGCGCCGGCAGCACCGUCGACGACGUUGGGCGCCAUUGCUUAGCUAGACCAGCCGGAUGAGCAGAAGCCUAGCUUAGCUCGCUAGCUAACGUUUCUCUUGUAGUAGAGACGGCCUUGCUUGCUGACCAACAAUUAAGCACACGCGUGCUAGGUAUACGAUAUGUGCCAUAUGUAGUGUAGUGGGCUGUCACGGGUGUGGGUAAAAGUCCUUGGGAAUAUAUACUGGAGGGUCCACCGGGCAUCACCGGUCUUUCUCGGAAUCACGUACGAUUGGGGCGCUGCUGAGUGCUGAUUCCAUUGCUGAUUGCUGCUUUUGGGUGCCACAGUGGCAUGCAUCCACAUGAUCGAGCAUUCGAGCACGUUAAACGACAACACGCAUCUCCUGAUCAUAAGUUAGCUCCAUGCAUGGAGCAUGGAUUAGAAUAUGACCGCGUCUCCUCAAAUUAGAUAUUCAGCCUGGGUAAUCGGUUUAACUGAACGGCUCGGUUCCUCGGGGUUUCAGAAAGUUCGGUUUUUUUUGGAAAUCUUGACGGGUCGGUUCAUAGGAAAAUUAAGAACCGAAAUAUUUUAGAACAAAAAAUUUGGUUUGGUUGGGUAUAAAGGCUACAGGUUUUGUUUAGGGAAAACAAAAUCAUUGUCAGGUGUCAACCAGAGCCAAUUUUCGCACCCAUAUGGUUUUCACUAAGGCGUCGAACUGUACAUUUCACUAUUAUUCUCACCACUGACAUCACGAGUAGGAGGCUUCUCUAGUGUGGGUUCAUAUAUACAAGAGUUGAAUCCACAAAGGCCAUUCUUCUUUUGAGGGCAAACAACAAAGGCCACUUCUCACUUUUUUUUUUCAUUUUUACGUCCAAUGGCACCCUUUUUGAGGAAAAAAAACUCUUGACCUGUUUUUUUAGCGAAGUCACACGGCUUUGUUAAUCAAAACAAAGUUACAUUAGAAUUGGUUCAUGGCUUAAGAAAAGUAAACCUCUCGUGCUGGAGUCAAAGUGCACUCUCUUAUUUGAGAGAGAGAGAGAGAAACUCUUUUUUUGAGCAAAAAAAACUCUUGAUUUUUUUUGAGAAUAAAUAAAAAAACUCUUGAUAAGGCCAGCAGGGAAGACGGCACCUCAGAUACUAAUGGGCUUUAAGUGCGAGGGGCGCGGCCCGCGCGGGUUAAACGCCUGCCGCGAGCACAGCCGGCUCGACCCCGGCGACCCCGAGUCCGAGGCGUGGUGUGUGGUUCCUUUCCCCUGUGUGGCCGGCGGCGACCGCGCCAAUGCGCGCCGGCGGCGCAGCGCAACAGAUUACGGAUAGAUCGAUAUAUAGCUUGGCUGCGUGGAGAUCGCGUUCCGGCUCCCAAACCCUCCCUAAAUCGACAGGUGCGCUUGCCUUCUCGCCUCCGAUUAAUCUCUCUUUCUCUCUCUGCGUUCCUUUAAUCCUCCUGGAGUUGGUGGCACUCGACCGAGCGCCGACGGAGCUCCGAGGUACGGCACUGCUGGGGAAGUUGCUUGGUGCUAAGGUUUUGUUAGGGUUUGCGGUUCUGCUAUUUCCACUCAAAUCGCGCGAUGCGAGUUGAGGCGCAUUUGACUGUUCAAGUACGAGGAAGAGAGGCUAAAUGGGUCGCGAGUACCUCUAAAAACAACUUCAGUGUAAAUUACUUGAUUAUUUUGAGAUUUCCACACAAUGGUGUUUAUUGGAGCAAUUAGAAGGAACUUAAUGCGUGUUUAGAAUCUGGACUGAAGUGGGUUCAUCGUGAGUGGAGUACUCCAUUGUUAUACCAUUUGCUAAAUUACUACUCCCUCCGUUCCAUAAUUCUUGUCGAAAUCUUACAUGUAUCUAGACACUUUUUAGAAAUAGAUACAUCCAUUUUUGGGCAAAUUUGAGACAAGAAUUAUGAAAUGGAGGGAGUACCUCCAAAGUGUCGAACAACACAAAUCGCCAGGCUUAAAAUUCUGAAGGGGGAGUUGGGCUUAAACCGUAAUACUCGGAACUUCGUUCUAAAACAGCCAUGUACACACACACACAGACAUCCUUUGUCUACAAGGUAUGUAUACCGAUCAACUAUUCAACUCUAAAUUCAUGGAUCUCCUUCUUGAAUUGCAAUCGAUAACCCAUAACAGUGGUGAGCAAACUGGGCCUGUCUACAAGCCCCUAGUAUAGACCAGUACGUAGUACAAUAUCAUAUAAAUACAUGUUCAGGUGACAGUUGCUGAUGCCUCGCAGUCGCAGCUAUCCACAACUCAUCAAUUCUUUUGCUCUAGCCACAAGAGUGUAUAGGGGUAUGCUGUGCUCCAUGAGUCCUGCAUCGCCCAAGAAGAACCUGUAAUUUUCAGCCACUGAAGGUGUACGUUCUACCAUUAGCAGUGCUCCCAUCAUCCAACAUUUCUUGAAAUAGUUGACGUAGCUAAGAUCGUACUCCAUCAUGUAUAUGGCAUGUUCAACUAUAGCCCUCCUGAUCCCGGGACAAUGAGCGGUGGGUAUCAUGUGUGAGUUUAGUGCAUUGACAAGCUUCUGUAUAAAUCUUUCCUUAAUUUGACCAUGCUUGAGUUCUCGGGCAAAGUUUUUAGGAAUGACGUUGCAUAUCUGUGAACUAAGGCCAACAAGGAUCUCGGAUCUCUAGUUCUGCUCCUUCUUCAUCCAUUAUUCCUUCCAACACCUGUAGUGAAUGAUAAGAUGAUAAGAAUGUGUAGGAUCUACGGUUUCAGUUACAUCUGCACAUAUUUUGUUAUGUGGUAGUGAAGGAUGGUUGCGAGCUAUUUAAUUUCAAUUUGGUGCGCUUAUCUGUACCAGUGGUUUGUUUUUACUUAUUGUUUCUCACAAUUUUCAAAUUACUCAACUAGAUGAUAUAAACUUAAAAUGCCAUGGUACUAUGCAUGUUUGUGCAAGGAAAUCUCCAUAACAAGAAAAGUAUGCGGUCUAUUUUUGGAAAAGGAAAAUGUUGCGAGAGCAUAUGCAGAUAGUAAGUUACACAAAUCCACUUCUCAUAUUUUACUUCUAGCUUAAAUUUGCAGGGCUCACCUCUCGCAAGAUGUGUGAAAGUUCCUUCAGGUCCGAGUUGCCGAGCUCAGAUUGAGCAUGCAUGCACAUAUUCCACAACAGGCUUGCUGCUACGUACAUGCAUUUUUCACUAUGGAUCAUGAUUGUGAGUUCCUUGAUGAAUACAUACCCGGGUUCUGCUAACAUGACCAAACAAUUAUUGGGACUCUCCAUUGCGAGCACUGCCAGGGCUUGUCCGGCAACCUUUCGCAUCAAGUGAUCUAAAUCUGUACUUGAGGGUGUAUCUUGGCUGAGAAAUGCAUGCAUAAGCCUGCCAAUGAUCACUCGGAUGUGCCCAAUAUUUUCCCUUGUAUUUCCGUCGAUGGCAAGGUUUCUAAGGCAUUCUGCUGUCAGCUUCCUGAGUUCUCCGCUGCUCCUGUUGUCAUCCAAGAUCUCGGCAAGGUUGCUCAAAAGGAAGGGAUGAUCUGAAAUCUUCUGUCGUAAAGUUACACCAAACUUCCCUUUAGUGCCUGCAAGUCUUGUCAGCACCUUCAAUUAUGAACCUUUCAGUAGCGUCUGGUGUGCCUCAUCAGCAUUUUUCAUACUGUUUCUGUUGCUUGUAAACUCUAUGAUCUUUGAGAUGAGACCUGUUGCUUUGCUGAUUUCCUUGCAGUUUUCAAGAUCAAAGCUACCAAGCCUGUCCAGAAUUGACAUGCCCAGUACAGGAAGGAGAUCCUGGUCUGUCGAUGGCUCCUCCACUGGAACAUACCAGCAUUUUGUAAUCUGUUUGCAGCAUCCAAUCAUGUGGGUGUUCUGUUCUUCCAUGUUGGAUGGCUCCUCUGCCGGAAUCAAGCAGUAUAUUGCCAUCUUUUUCCACCACUUAAGUACCGGGGAGUUCUGUCCAUCCAUGCUAACUUGCUGAAAUGGGGCAUAUGGCUUUGAUUCUUGGCUCUCAGUGUCCAGAAGAGGAUCCUUUAUUUCCAGUUGGUGAACAGUGUCCAAAAGUGAGGGUAUGAGCUGCAUUGCACCUGGGAUAGGGGCAACUCGGAUACUAUUAGCAAGCUCAGCUGUGACCUUUGUGGCAAAUGAUCUAAUAUCUUUAUCACCUUCACUUGUCCAUCCCAACAUGUUGAACAAUGAGGUCAAUGUCUUGGUAGAAGUGGUAAGUUCUGAGAUGACUUUAGUCCUCAGGUGCUCCUUUUUCAGAAAGUUAUGCAGCAUCUGAACCCCGUAGAGCUGCUUCUUGGGUGAAUCUGAUUUUAAAGUAUGCACAGCAAACUUGAUGAGGCUGAUCUUCUUUGGAGCAAGCACAGCCCCUCCCAUGCAUUUUUCAAAUGCGUGUGCAUAGUACUGGUUGACACAGUCCACACCUGACUGACCUCUAAAUCCAGCACAUUGGACGAGGGAUCUCCGAAGGAAGAAUGAGAAGACCUAAAGGAUGCAUGCAACAAGGUAGAGUAUCCCUUGGCCAAGCACCAUCACAUAGAAAAUAUUGAGAGAUGACACAAGGUUUGUUUUGUCCCCAAGGUUUGACUUGUCAAUGUGCGCAUCAUCACCGUAGUAGUUUUGUAACAUAAGGCGAUCUAGUGCCAUCAUGAUGCGCAACAGUGCUGCUGGAAGCUGCAAGUUGCCAAAUGACACUAUUGCUAGAGCAUAUACUUGUAUUGUGAUGAUAUAUAAUCGAGGCAUGCCAUCAAAAGUGUACAGCAGCAUCACCAUGGCAGCAAACAUGCACAAGUUUAUUGCAACUCUACGCCAAGAUACGAGCUUUCGGCCCACAGCACAAUCUGCUAGUUUGACAAUAGAUGGGAACCGAAGUUUGCUAAUUGUAAGUAGGAGUACAAUCACAAAGAGUACCAGGUAUACUGUCCAUUUGACCAUCAGGUUUCUGGGAGUAAACCUUUGAAUUCGAUGAUACCUUUGCUCAGCAUGGUAGCUAUAUGGUGCAGAGGGACCUAGCAAUAUGAUUGCAACCAUGGGGCUCCAUAAUGAUAUUGCACGGGAUAGUGAAUUGCAUAUGAGUAGUCUUGCAGCUCCUGGAAUUAGAAAACGUCCAAUCACAAGGAUUGCCAGAAAUAUAAUCCUUAUAUAUUUCAUCAAAUGGCUACUCGAGAUCAUCACGCACACCAUAACAUCUAAAAGGCAUACGGUCCAGAUCAAGCCAUUCCAGCCAAGAGACUUGAAAGCACCUCUUGUGCGGAAGAACUGGUAAUCCAGCCCAUUGUUGUUGCGGCUGAACGUCCUGAGGUGCAUAUUAUUGCACGAUUAAGCAAAAAGGAUAGCAGGCAUUCCACAAAACAUAGUCGAUCAACAUGCAUACAUCCAGACCACAAUGGCAGAUUGGCAGCUACUCCCUCCGUGCCAUAAAGGUUGGCACGGAUUUGAACUAGUUCUAGUUCAAAACCGUGCCAAUCUUUAUGGAACGGAGGGAGUAUAAAAUAACAAACUGAUCUUGACAUGAUUUCGUACAUGUUGUGAAAUGAAAUGAAUGAGAAUCUAUGUUCUAUUCCAUUGAUUGAUGAUGAUAUAUAUAUAGGUUUAAGGGGCACCAAUACAUGCAUUGGUGUUCCAAACUUUUGCCUUCGCGUCCCAAGUUUUCCAAAACUUGGGACACGAACGGUUACAGUAACUGCCUACUAAUAAUUAAACUAAUUGAUCAUAUAUUAUUCUCAACGCUCCUCCUUGAUCAAUUUGCUUCUUUGACUUGUAUAUUCUUGAAUCAUCAUGGAAUCUUGUAAUGUUGUAAUUUCCUCCAAAAACGUUGUGGGAAAAAUAUUAAGGAAAUAAUAAUAAUAUCGAUAUGUUAUGAAAACUCCUUUAAAAACCCAAUGGAAAAAAUUAAGGAGAAAAUGAUAUAACAUAUUUUGAAUAUUGUCUCUUGAUAAUUUAUAUUGGAUUAUGUGGACAAUAAAUAUGUCUUGUAUAUUAUCUACCAAAAUCCCGGUGGGGAAAAUAGAGAAUAUGACAUAUAAUCUUAUGUUAAUAUUGUCUCAUUAAAAACCUUUUAUGAGAAUCUAGUGAGUAAAACUCAUAAUAGGAAAAGAGUGCAAUAUGAUGUUGUGAACAGGUUAAACUCAGGUGAACACUCCUCCUGAUGCUUGCAAAUUUUUAAAUUGUUGCAUACCAAUCCCAUAUACACAUUUCUGAAAUGUGGAGUUGGGUAAGGACUUAGUAAACAAAUCUGCGAGAUUAUCACAUGAUUUGGUUUGCAAGAUAUUUAUCUCCCCAUUUUGUUGUAAUUCAUGAGGAUAGAAUAGUUUAGGUGCAAUAUGUUUAGUUAUAUUGCUUUAUAUAUAACCCGUUUGCAUAUGAGUAACACAAGCAAAAUUAUCUUCAUAGAUAAUUGUUGGUGAUUCAGUCGAACCAAUACCAUAUGAUUGUUGUAUGUGGUUAAUCAUUCCGCGUAACCAUAUACUUUCAUGAGACGCUUCGUAUAAGGCUAUUAUUUCCGAAUGAUUUAUGGAUGUAGCCACUAGAGUCUGUUUUAGAAGACUUCCACGAUAUGGCUGUCCCACCGUGUAGGAACACGAAACCGGUCUGGGAUCUGGCAUUGUGGGGAUCAGAUAAAUAGCCAGCAUCAGUGUAUCCGAUUAAUUCAGAGUUUUGGAUUUCCUUUUGGAAAUAUAGACCUAGAUCUUUAGUGUCUAGUAGGUAGCGAAAUAUUUGCUUGACUCCUACCCAAUGAUGUUUUGUUGGAGCUGUGUUGUGUCUAGCUAGUAAAUUUACCGCAAAUGCAAUAUCCGGCCGGAUGCAAUUUGCUAGGUACAUUAAUGCCCCAAUAGCACUAAGAUAUGGGAAAUCAGGUCCCAAAAUUUCCUCUCCAUCACCUUUUGGUUUGAAUGGAUCUUUCUCUACGUCUAGAGAUCGAACUAUCAUAGGUGUUUGCAUGGAUAGGAUUUGUCUAUGUUAAAUUUCUCCAUGAUUUUUUGGAUAUAUAUAGCUUGGUGAACCAAUAUUCCCGAGGGAAGGUGCUCAAGUUGUAAACCUAAGCAGAACUUGGUUUUACCCAAAUCUUUCAUUUUGAAUUCCGUCUUUAGGUGAUUGUAUGUAUCACCAAACUUCUUGAUGUAUACACUUGGACAAUCAUCAUUGUUUGAGUAUUUCUUCAGUGAAAUAAAAUCAUUUAGUCAGCUUUACCAAUUUGGCAGACUAUGUUGAUAAGCCAUAUAGUGACUUAUUAAGGUUUACACUAUUAAUGUUGCAUCUUUUGUGUGCAUUUGGAAAUUGGGAUUCCUCGAGGAAUCUAUAUGUCUAAAAUAAGUGACUCAUAAAUAUAUUUUUGUCACUAUGUCUAUCGACUACAUAAAUAGACGAUUUAGAAUUGCCAUUGAAAUGCGUUAUCGGAAAAAUGAUUUCAUGCAUAUAUGGAGAAUUGGUUUCGAGUAUCUGCGUGAACCCUUGUGCUACAAGACUCGCUUUUGAGUUUCACCACCUCAUUAUUUUCAUUUAUCUUUCAAAAGAAAAUUGGUGUAGGUAUUACUUUCGCUGAUACCUUCCUUUUUAUUGAGCGAAGCUGAUUCUGCUUGCAUUGCAUCCUUCGAUUGAAUCCAGUCCGAGUGUUUACACACUAUGCCAUGGCCAUGGUCUUUGGACCAGGAUCAUUCGGGAGGUUCUUUGCAAUUAUAGUGCAUAAUGUAUGUCGACAAUUUUGUAGUCUUUUGUGCAUGUUUCCGUGUGUAGAUCAGACACACGUGAGAUCAUCGUAUAGAUGAUUAUGUACCCAUGAUAACUAUUCGCAGUUUCCCAAUGCGGUUAAGUUUAGGUAUUUCGAUGUCCCAGUCAUUGUGUGCACUAUUGAGCUGGGUUUGUGGAGAUUUCCCUUCCACUGGGUGUAUAUUACCCAUUUUGUAUCUAUCAACGUGAAGUUGAAUUGCAUUUACUGAUUUUUGAGAGUAUACUCAGAAGUUUUCUUUGUUGCUUGCGAGGAGCUGAAUCAUGUGGUGUGGCCAUACUUCUCCCCCUCGUGUAUUAAAUGGGGAGUUGUUUGGUUUUUUAUUAGUAUCUCCACUCUUUCAGGCACAUUAAUUGCAUGAUUUAAAGGAUUUGUAUGAUACCUUUGUAGUCAGUAAAUGAGUAUGGCAGAUUAUUUGCAAUGUGCUGCAAAUGAAUGAUUUUCUGAACUAAAGGUUCAGAUCCUUAAGUACGUGGAUUUGAGGAGAAAAUGUGUUGGACAUUAAUAUUGAUUUCCUGGCAUUCUUACUGGUACUUGAAAUCUUCCCCUAAUGCCUGGAAAUGCUCCUCGGUGAAAUAGACAGUGUACUAGCCAUAAAUAACUCCCCCUGAUUGGGGCUCAAGGUAUUUGUAAAUGACGGAAAAUACAGUUAUUCCUCACAUAGAUCCCGAAUCUGUGAGGGGCCAUUGAUGUACGCUGGAGUGGUGAUAUCGGUAUUUAACCGAAUAAUCGCAGAUGGGAAAUCUUUGGUAGAUGUCCACGUAUAAAUAGGAUAGGGGAAUAAUUACAAUAUGAAGUUGUUCACUUAUGAAUUAAGUCGGUAGUGUGUAGAACUGCGUGACCUAACAUGAGGUUGAUAAGUUGCAAUUCAUUUGUAAAAAUCAUGUGUAAUGAGCUAUAUGCUUUGAUCAGAUAUUCAAAUCAAACCAUUAUGAGUUUGGACAUAUGGGACAUAGUGUUGAGCUUCAACCCCCCAAAACCAUGCAAUAAUCAUUUAAAGCAUGUAAGGAGAAUUUUGCAACAAUGUCAAUUCGAAUUGAUUUAAUUCGAUAUCCAGCAUUGUGAGCUUGUAGUUUACUACAGUGGCUCAUUAUUUAGCAUAUACAUGGUUUUGUGUGGAUAGAAGACACACGUGAGACAUCGUGUAGAUGAACUUAUCGAACCAUGAAAUACAGGGAAAGUGCAGACCAUGGUUGUAUGCAACCACAAUUAUCACUUUGAAUGUGCUCAAGGAAUUUGAGUGGUUUUGCUAGUAUUUUGAGAUAUGAAGGUCCCAAAAUUAACAUUCAUGUAGCACAAAUAGUGCACUUGGAAUCUGAAUAUUGAGGAAAUUUAGCAGUAUUUAAGCCAUGACUAACAGAUUGGAAUUGCUAGUAAUUUUUCACAUCAUCCCUAAUCCAGGGUGAGAAUGGCGACUAUGCCAUAUUUGGAAUGUAGUGACAUUCUGAAAAAUUACCUUAUACGCAACAUUUGCUACGGGUGUGGUGUAUGUGUAGUACAAUCCGGACGAUAAAGAAAUUUUUCAAGAAUUUGGUUGCCAUAUCCGUUAUAUUUGUUGAAAUGAGAAAUUCCAAUUGUUGUCAUCGUGGGUUUCAAUAUGAAUCCCAUUUGGACGGAUAUCUCUAUAACUUAUUAAAGUAUAGAGUUCAUGGAGCCCCUGUCCACUGGGCAAAAUUCUUCAUCCAUUUUGGAUUGACUCCCGUAGAAAACUAUAUAUUGAAAAUGAAGAACUUUAAUAGAAAUUCUUAAUAGAUAUGUAGAAUACAUACAAACUUUAUAUAAGUAUCAAUGUGAUGAUACAAUAUCGUAAUUUACAAUACAUAUGUCAAAUAUGUAGGUACCAAUAUGUUGAUACAAUAAUGUAAUAUUACAAUAUAGAUGACAACAUUUACUAUAAAUAUUUACAACAACAUUUGGACAUAAAUAUAGAUAAUAUCUAUUUUGGAGAUAGGUAAACUAGCUUAGGUCUCCAUACAUGUCAUUUGAAGUAAAUUCAACGAUCAUGUUCUCCGUGCUCAUUGGAUCCUCGGACGAUCGGAUUUUUGGGUUGUUGCUUGGUGAUUCAUUGACAUCUUGCGAACAACCGGCUUCCUUGGAAUUGUCGGAUUGGAAAUUGAAAUGUGAUUCAAAUCUUGGUCCUUGAUGAGCAGGUUGCUUGCGUCCUACGGAUUGUAGGUACAGAUCUACCAAAUGACGAGGGGUACGGCAUUUCUUUGUAAUGUGCUUGUAGCACCCACAUUUUUGACAAACUUUAGAUUUGUCGUAUUGUGGAUUGGAAUUGCCUUUUCCCUUUUCCUGUACAUGUGGCUUGUUUUUGUUGUUAUUGCCCUUUUGCUUGCGUUUGAAGUUGUUUCGUCGAUUAUUCGAUCCAUUGAACCUGUUAUUCUUCUGAAAAUUAGCAUGUACUUCAGGUAAAGGUGCAGCGCCUACCGGACGCUGAUGAUGAUUUCUCAUUAGAAGUUCAUCAUGCUUUUCGGCCUGAAGUAAAACAUGGAUAAGAUCAGAAUAAAUUAACGUGCACGAUAUUGUUGCUGGAGGAUCCUAUCGGCCGGAAGCAUGGUGGAUAAGGUCUUUUCGAUCUUUUCCGCUUCAGUAGGUUCCUUCUCGCAAAAUUGCAAUCUUGAACAAAUUUUAUGAACGGCAUGAUUGAACUCUCCAACAGAUUUAAAAUCUUGUAGGCGUAGUUGAGUCCAUUCAUGUGUGGCUUCAUGCAAAAUUACGGCCUUCUGCUGUUCAUAUCUAGUUUGAAGGGCAAGCCAUAGUGUGUAUGGAUUUUCUUCCAUGAGAUACUCUAAUUUGAGAUCAACAUGGAUGUGGUUCCUUAUAAUGUAUAAGGUAUUAUAUUUGUGUAGAUCUGUGAUGGGCUCUUGUCCCUCUAUAGGAGGUUGUAUGGCCGCUGAAAGUCCACGUGACGCAAGGCUUACUUUUACGUCCAUUGCCCAAGUUGGAUAGUUUAGACCGUCGAGGGCGAGUUCAUCAAACUCUUUCCCAGUCAUUUUGUCCUACGUGGGAUUGAAAAACCAUUGAUUUUGUCAAUUACUAUUAGGUAAAACCAAAAUAUUGUGGUCAUUAUUGUAAGUAAAUUGCAAUAAAAUGCAUGAAAUUUAAUCAAUAUUAAAUUCAUAUAGUGUAGACCUCAAAUAACACUUUGAAGAUAGUAGAUCUCCCAGUUCUACGCGAAAUAAUUCGCUGCUUUCCAUAAGGUGUAUGUUCCCACGGAACAUUCAACGCAACGCAACUAUAUCGUUUUACCGUUAUUGAAAGGCUGUAGCACCUUGUGUUAUUUAAUAUUAGAAGAGCACGGUGAAGGAAGUCAUUGUGCAUUUUUACACAAUGUAGACCUCUCAAUACUACGCGAAAUUAUUUGUUGUUUUCAAUAAGGUGUAUGUUAACACGGAACAUUCAACGCAAUUAUAUCGUUUUACCGUUAUUGAAAGUUUAUAGUAUCUUGUGAUUCAUAUAUAUUAAAUUGAGGUAGUCACGUGGUGAUAAUUUUGUUUAUCACGAAUGGAGAUUUUUCUUGAAUCAAGUCUAAUUUGAGCAUUUUUGGUGCCAUUUUGGGACUAAAUUGUUGAAGCAAAAUUCUAAAAAAUGCAAGAAAUAAUAAUCUCAAUUGCAAAGGCGUAAAUAUCACAUGUAAUAGGGGAUGCAUAUGAUACAAACACAUUGAACAUGAUAAUAUUUACAUUGACAUUUACAUAGAAAUAUGUCUUUAGUGGAAAAUAUCCUAAAAACCACUGGAAUCUAAAUAAAUAUAAGUGUAAGGACCUAUAGUUAUGUAAAAUACAACUAUUUAAAUAUAUACAUGGACCAAAUCGAAAAUAGCCGAAAACACACGGACUUUUCUGCAAAAUGGCCGAACCAGUGGGGGAGGGGACGUGCGCAGGGGCGUCGGCGUCCUGGGCCUGGGCCUCAGCGGCCUUUCGGCCGGCCCAGGUCGGGAUAGGGGCGUGCGGUUAAGGGGAGGGAGGGCUCGGGCGCGGGCGGUACCCCGACGCUGCCGCUGCUGCCACUCUCCCUGAUUCCGCCGCCGUCUGCCUCGCUCCUCUGCCGCAGCCCGGUGGAGCGGAGGCCGGCGAGGAAGGAGCCGGCAGGGCGCGGGCCGGCGAGGCGCUGGCCAUGGGCGCGGCGGCCGCGGUUGCAGGGGCGGGCGCAGCGGGAGCCAGAGGCGCAGCGGCGCGGGGCCAGCGGGGCCGAAGGCGGAGGAGGCCACGCCCGAGGGGGCCUUGGCCGCAGGCGGAGGAGGCCGCGCGCGAGGGCGCGUUGGCCGGAUGCCGGGGGGGGGGGGGGGGGGCGGCGGCGCUGGAGUCGGGGACGGAGAGGAGAGGCCGAGCGCCUCCGCGUUGGUGGCGAGGCUCGGCGUCCGUGGCCGAUGGCGCGGUGGGCAGGGGCACAGACGGGUAUGGACCGGCGGCCGUGGCGAGUGUGGCGGCCACCCGCGCGGGGCGAGCGGCGGCGAGCAAGCCAGCGGCGGCGUGGAGGCUCCCGGCGGCGAGCCCAGCGGCGGCGGUGAGUUCCCCGGCGGCUGCCCUCUUGGCCCAAGAACUCUACCAUUGCAACUAGAACUAGGGGUAGGUCGUAGGAUGCCAUGAUCCUCACCUUUUUUUAUUGUAGAGCAAACGUGGCUGAUAACGUGUUGUGAAAUGAAAUGAAUGAAAAUCUCUGUUCUAUUCCAUUGAUGGAUGAUGAUAUAUAUACAGGUUGAAGGGGCACCAAUACAUGCAUUGGUGUGACAAACUUUUGCCUUUGCGUCCCAAGUUUUUCACGCACGGUUACGGUGCCUACUAAUAAUUAAACUAAUUGAUCAUAUAUUAUUCUCAACAGUACAAUUCUCAUACGCCAGAUGAAGUUGAUACUUUGUAGAGUUUUGCUUGGAAAGUUGUAAGUUUUGAUGCAAAUCGAUUGUGAGUGAUAAAAAAAGAUCGACUGUUUCUCCUUUAAAAUCGACUCCUAUAGAGCUCUUGUUGCAACAAUGCUAGUAAAUUACUUUAAAAUAGUGUCCAUCCGCUUGGAUUUAAUUUUAUAUUACCAUCUGUCAGAUUAUAAGUUGCUGAGAGAUAUGAUCCAAAAGACCAUUUUUGAGAAAUUAAAUGCACCACUAAGCUCGUAUGACCUGCAAUAUGUUAAAAGAAGAGAGUAUAUAUACAGUGGCAUACCUGGCGGCUUCUAAGAAAACCAAGACCGUGGGGUACCAAAAGUCGUCGGAGGAGAGCACCGUGGGGUAUCCGCCGAGCAGGACGACGGUGGACCAGGUGAAGGCCAGCGUGCCCAGCGCGUUGCCCACCCUCUCCACCAGC